ACCUACGGGAGACAGCAGUAGGGAAUUUUCGUCAAUGGGCGCAAGCCUGAACGAGCAAUGCCGCGUGAACGAGGAAGGUCUUCGGAUCGUAAAGUUCUGUUGAAGGGGAAAAAGAGCGGAGAGAGGAAAUGCUUUCUGAUUGAUAUUACCCUUCGAGGAAGUCACGGCUAACUACGUGCCAGCAGCCGCGGUAAUACGUAGGUGGCGAGCGUUAUCCGGAAUGAUUGGGCGUAAAGGGUGCGUAGGCGGCCUGCUAAGUCUGGAGUGAAAGGUACCGGCUCAACCGGUACAGGCUCUGGAAACUG
rnacentral:rRNA from 1 species